rnacentral:misc_RNA from 1 species
CUUUAACUCUGGACUACUGAUUGAGGUGGUGAACUCGAUUUCAGCAACACAGAGAAAAUUAUUUUUAAAAAAAAACAAAAAAAAACUGGCAUACACUACCUUAUCUAAAUAAUCAAAAAAUCCAUCUUCCAAAAAUUUAGAAAUAACAUGACCAUUAGCAUCUUCAACUGAUAGAUGGCCACCUCCUUUACACAUUCUGUCACUUCGAUUUGACAACCUAAAACUAAGUUGCUUCCAGAGGGAGCCACCCUUUCCCCCCAUAAAG